UGUGGUUCAAGUGCUACCAUCAAGUACUGAAUUAGCCUUAAAUCUGCAUAAAACUACUCUUUGCUGCUUCAAUAGUGUUCUGCAGUGUACACAGAUGCCCUCUGAUUCUUCUUCUGCUUAUUGCUUGGAUGGGCCAAUCGGAGAUGCAUGUGGUGACGGUUUUUUCUUGUGAUAUCUCACAGUCCGUAGAUGAUAUUGAAGGACUUUCAAAACAAGGGUUGUUUGUUUUUUACGGUUUUGUCCAAUUAUGCCUAAAUCAACAUAUGCGGUCAUUGGAGAUUUCAGAGUUGAUCCCUUGUGCCCCUACUUCCAGUGGGUGCACGGGGUUUUUAUCAUAACCAUUUGAUUCUCCG
rnacentral:lncRNA from 1 species